GACGAACGCUGGCGGCGUGCCUAAUGCAUGCAAGUCGCACGCGGCACCUUCGGGUGCUGAGUGGCGAACGGCUGAGGAACACGUGGGGACCUGUCCGGGAGUGGGGGACAACACCGCGAAAGCGGUGCUAAUCCCGCAUACGCUCUGAGGAGGAAAGCCGAAAGGCGCUCCCGGGUGGCCCUGCGGCCCAUCAGGUUGUUGGGGGGGUAACGGCCUACCAAGCCAAUGACGGGUCGCUGGUCUGUGAGGACGACCAGCCAGACUGGGACUGGGACACGGCCCAGACUCCUACGGGAGGCAGCAGGAAGGAAUUUUCGGCAAUGGGCGCAAGCCUGACCGAGCAACGGCGCGUGCAGGAAGACGGCCUUCGGGUUGUAAACUGCUUUUGCUAGGGAGGAUAACAGACAGUACCUGGCGAAUCAGCCCCGGCUAACUCUGUG
rnacentral:rRNA from 1 species